rnacentral:lncRNA from 1 species
AAUGUUAGGUUCGUUGCAUAGGAAACAAAAAAUUUCCUACGAGAAGUGCGGAAGAAAACCCAAGAAUAUAUAUACUAGAUGUAUGUAACGAGAGGGAUCAUGAACACCAUACCCUCGUAGACCGCUAAGCGUUACGAUCACGAGAUCGUUGUUGGUGUAGUGGAACUUUCAAUGAGAUCGAUCUCAGUGCCGAACGGACAGCACCUCCUUGGUAUCCACACGUUCAGCUUCACGUUGUCUCCUCCUUCCUCGAUCCAGCAAGCGAGAGGGAGAGGUAGACGAGAUCCCGGCAGCACGACGGCGUGGUGACUAUGGUGAAUAUUCUCACAGGCAGGGCUACGCCGUGCGCGUGAGAAGAGGAGGAGAGGAGGGCUCAGGGGAGAGAGAUCCAACUGAAAGCUUGGGGUGUCUCUCUCCCUUGCCCCCCUUUCUAUUUAUAUAGGGGUAGAGGAGGCGUGGCCGGCCAGGACUAUCCCGUGGCCAGGACUCUCCGGCGGCCAGGACUCUCAUGCGGCCAGGACUCUCCCGCGGCCAGGACUCUCCUCCUGGCCGCAUGGGCCCUGUGGGCUAGCCCCUCGGCCCAUUAAGGCCAGGGUGCUCCCUCACAGGCCCAUUUAGCCCAGGGAUAGGUGGGCCUCAAGGUGGAACCCUCCGGAUCCCUCCGGAACCUUCUAGAAGCUUCCCGGUCAAAACCGGGAAAUAUUCCAAACUUUCCAGAACCCUGAAAACAACUUUCCAUAUAUAAAUCUUUAUCUCCGGAACAUUCCGGAGCUCCUCGUUGCGUCUAGGAUCCCAUCCAAGACUCCGAAUCAUAAUUCGAUAUCAUCAUCAUUUAUCUCAUCUAACCCAAGCAACAUGAAACGUUAAGUGUGUGACCCUACGGGUUCGAGAACAUGUGGACAUGAUCAAAUAUCAAUAACCAAUAGCGGGACCUGGAUGUCCAUAACAGUUCCCACAUAUUCCACGAAGAUCUCAUCGGUUGAACCACUAUGUCGAGGAUUCAAUUAAUCCAGUAUCCAAUUCUCUUUGUCUCGCGAUAUAUUACUUGCCCGAGAUUUGAUCGUCGGUAUCGCCAUACCUAGUUUAAUCUCGUUACCGGCAAGUUCUCUUUACUCGUUCCGUAAUAUAAUACCCCCGCAACUAAACACAUUAGUCGCAUGCUUGCAAGCUCAUUAGGAUGUUAUAUUACCGAGAGGGCCCAGAGAUAUCUCUCCGUCACAAGGAGUGACAAAUCCCAGUCUUGAUCCAUACAACCCAACAAGCACCUUCUGGGAUACCUGAAAAACACCUUUAUGAUCACCCAGUUACGAGAUGACGGUUGAUGCCCACAAAGUAUUCUUCCGGUACUAGGGAGUGGCAUGAUCUCAUGGUCUAAAAAAAUAAUACUUGACAUAAUAAAACAUAAGCAACUUAAACUUAAGUGACACGAUCAAAAGCUAUGUUUAGGUUUGGGUCUGUCCAUCACAUCAUUCUCGUAAUGAUAUGAUCUCGUUAUUAAAUGACAACACAUGUCUAUGGUUAGGAAACCUUAACCAUCUUUAAUCAACGAGCUAAUCUAGUGGAGGCGUAUUAGGGACACGGUAUUUGUUUAUUUAUCCACACAUGUAUUUGAGUUUCCAAUCAAUACAAUUAUAGCAUGGGCAAUAAACAUUUAUCAAGAACAAUGAAAUAUGAUAAUAACAAAUUUAUUAUUGCCUUUAGGGCAUAUUUCCAACAGUCUUCCACUUGCACUAGAGUCAAUAAUCUAGUUUACAUUGUAAUAAAUCUAACACCCAUGGAGUCUUGGUGUUGAUCAUGUUUUGCUCGUGGAAGAGGUUUAGUCAACGGGUCUGCGACAUUCAGAUCCGUAUGUACUUUGCAAAUCUUUAUGUCACCAUCCUUGACAUAUUCACGAAUAGUGUGAAACCGGCGUUUAAUAUGCUUGGAAUUCUUGUGAGACCUCGGCUCCUUGGCGUUGGCUAUGGCACCAGUGUUGUCACAAUAGAUGUCCAUGGGAUCCAACGCACUCGGAACCACACCAAGUUCAGAUAUGAACUCCUUCAUCCAAACUCCUUCCUGUGCCGCUUCUGAAGCAGCCACAUAUUCCGCUUCAGUUGUUGAUGCUGCCACAACGCUCUGCUUGGAACUCCUCCAGCUAACUGCACCACCAUUCAAAAUAAAUACGUAUCCGGAUUGAGACUUAGAGUCAGCCGGAUCAGUGUCAAAACUAGCAUCGACGUAACCCUUUACGACGAGCUGUUCGUCACCUCCAUAAACGAGAAACAUUUCUUUAGUCCUUUUUAGGUACUUAAGGAUAUUCUUAACUGCUGUCCAGUGUUCCACUCCUGGAUCACUUUGGUACCUGCUAGUCAAAAUAACAGCAUGACACACGUCUGGUCUAGUACACAGCAUGGCAUACAUAAUAGAGCCUAUGGCUGAGGCAUAGGGGAUACUAUUCAUCUUUUCUCUAUCUUCUGCCGAAGCUGGACACUGAGUGUUACUCAAUAUCUUACCUUGCAACAUGGGCAAGAACCCUUUCUUUGCUUGAUCCAUUUUGAACCUUUUCAAAACUUUGUCAAGGUAUGUACUUUGUGUAAGUCCUAUCAGGCGUCUUGAUCUAUCUCUAUAAAUCUUGAUGCCUAAUAUGUAAGCUGCUUCACCAAGGUCUUUCAUUGAAAAACUUUUAUUCAAAUAGCCUUUAACACUUUUAAGAAGUUCUAUAUCAUUCCCAAUCAGCAAUAUGUCAUCCACAUACAGUAUUAGAAAUGCUACAGAGCUCCCACUCACUUUCUUGUAAAUACAAGCUUCUCCGUGAGUUUGGACAAAUCCAAACCCUUUGAUCACCUUAUCAAAACGGAGAUUCCAACUCCGAGAUGCUUGCUUCAGCCCAUAAAUGGAACGCUGAAGUUUGCAUACCUUAUUAGCAUCCUUAGGAUUGACAAAACCUUUGGGCUGAAUAUGUAUAACUCUUCCUCAAUGUGACCAUUAAGGAACGCGGUUUUGACAUCCAUCUGCCAGAUUUCGUAAUCGAAAAAUGCAGCAAUUGCUAACAUAAUCCGAACAGACUUUAGCAUCGCUACGGGUGAGAAAGUCUCAUCGUAGUCAACUCCUUGAAUUUGUCGAAAACCUUUUGCGACAAGUCGAGCUUUAUAGACGGUAACAUUUCCAUCAGCAUCUGUUUUCUUCUUGAAAAUCCAUUUGUUCUCAACGGCCUUUCGGUCAUUCAGUAAGUCUACCAAAGUCCAUACUUGGUUUUCAUACAUGGAUCCCAUUUCGGAUUUCAUGGCUUCUAACCAUUUUUCGGAGUCUGGGCUCAUCAUCGCUUCCUCAUAAUUCGCAGGUUCAUCGUUGUCCAACAACAUGACAUUCAUGACACGAACAUUGUACCACUCAGGAGUAUUACGUGUUCUCGUCGACCUGCGAAGUUCAGUAGUUGUCUCAUUCAAAACUUCAUGAUCAUUAUCAUUAGCUUCCUCUCUAGCUGAUGCAGGAUGCACGGGAACAGUUUCUGGUGCUGCGCUACACUCAAAUUCGAGAGAAGGUUCAAUAACCUCAUCGAGCUCUACCUUCCUCCCACUCACUUCUUUCGAGAGAAACUCCUUCUCUAGAAAGGACCCGUUCUUAGCGACAAACACUUUUCCUUCGGAUUUGUGAUAGAAGGUGUACCCAAUUGUUUCUUUAGGGUAUCCUAUGAAGACGCAUUUUUCCGACUUGGGUUCGAGCUUAUCAGGUUGUAGCCUUUUUACAUAAGCUUCGCAUCCCCAAACUGUAAGAAAGGACAGCUUAGGUUUCUUGCCAAACCAUAAUUCAUACGGUGUCGUUUCAACGGAUUUAGAUGGUGCCCUAUUUAAAGUGAAUGCGGCUGUCUCUAAUGCAUAACCCCAAAACGACAGUGGCAAAUCAGUAAGAGACAUCAUAGACCGUACCAUAUCCAAUAAAGUACGAUUACGACGUUCGGACACACCAUUGCGUUGUGGUGUUCCAGGCGGCGUAAGUUGUGAAACAAUUCCACAUUGUCUUAAAUGCGUGCCAAACUCGUAACUCAAAUAUUCACCUCCACGAUCCGAUCGUAGAAAUUUAAUUUUCUUGUUACGAUGAUUCUCCACUUCAUUCUGAAAUUCCUUGAAUUUUUCAAAUGUCUCAGACUUGUUUUUCAUUAAGUAAAUAUACCCAUAUCUACUCAAGUCAUCUGUGAAGGUUAGGAAGUAACGAUAUCCACCGCACGUUGUAACACUCAUUGGUCCGCACACAUCAGUAUGUAUGAUCUCCAACAAGUCACUGGCCCGUUCCAUUAUGCCUGAAAACGGGGUUCUAGUCAUCUUACCCAUGAGGCAUGGUUCACAUGUAUCAAAUGAUUCAAAAUCAAGUGAUUCAAGUAGUCCAUCAGAAUGGAGUUUCUUCAUGCGUUUUAUACCAAUAUGACCUAGACGGCAGUGCCACAAAUAUGUUGAACUAUCAUUAUCCACUUUGCACCUUUUGGCAUUAACAUUAUGAAUAUGUGUGUCACUACUAUCGAGACUUAAUAGAAAUAAACCAUUCACAAGUGGUGCAUGACCAUAAAAGAUAUUACUCAUAUAAAUCGAACAACCAUUAUUCUCUGAUUUAAAUGAAUAACCGUCUUGCAUUAAACAAGAUCCUGAUAUAAUGUUCAUGCUCAACGCAGGCACCAAAUAACAAUUACUAAGGUUUAAAACUAAUCCCGAAGAUAAAUGUAGAGGGAGCGUGCCGACGGCGAUCACAUCAACUUUUGAUCCAUUCCCGACGCGCAUAGUCACCUCAUCUCUUGCUAGUCUUCGUUUAUUCUGUAGCUCCUGUUUCGAGUUACAAAUGUGAGCAACUGAACCAGUAUCAAAUACCCAGGUGCUACUACGAGUACUAGUAAGGUACACAUCAAUAACAUGUAUAUCAAAUAUACCUUUGACGUUGCCAGCCUUCUUAUCUGCCAAGUACUUGGGGCAGUUACGCUUCCAGUGGCCAGUCCCCUUGCAGUAGAAGCACUCAGUAUCCGGCUUAGGUCCAGAUUUGGGCUUCUUCGCGGGAGUGGCAACAGUUUUGCCACCCUUCUUGAAAUUUCCCUUCUUACCCUUUGCCUUCUUGAAACUGGUGGUCUUAUUGACCAUCAACACUUGAUGCUCCUUUUUGAUUUCCACCUCCGCAGUUUUUAACAUCGCGAGGAGCUGAGGAAGUGUCCUAUCCAUCCCUUGCAUAUUGUAGUUCACCACAAAACUUUUAUAGCUAGGUGGUAGUGACUGAAGAACCCGGUCAAUGCCUAAUUCAUUAGGAAUCUCAAUUCCCAGUUGUCUCAGGCGGUCGGCGUACCCAGACAUUCUGAGCACGUGCUCGCUAACGGAGCUGUUCUCCUCCAUCUUGCAGUUAAAGAACCUUUCGGAGGCAUCAUACCUCUCCGCACGGGCUUGGGUCUGAAAUAAAGUAUUCAGUUCCCCAAUCAUAGCAUAUGCCGAGUGGUGCUCAAAACGCUUUUGGAGCUCAGGUUCCAUACCAAGCAAGAGGCCGCACCUAACUACAUUGUGGUCCUCAGAUUGAGUCAGCCAAACGUUCCUAACGUCAGCAGACUCAGUUGCUGCGGGUUCUGCACCAAGCGCUGCAUCAAAAACAUAAGCUUUUUUGGCAGCUUCGAGGAUAAUCCUCACAUUCCGGAACCAGUCCGUAAAGUUACUUCCAUUAGACUUCAGUUUAUCUUUCUCUAGGAGAGUAUUCAUAUUGAACGUAGUACGAGCCAUUGAUCUACAGCAUAUUUGCAAAGGCAAUUAGACUAAGUUCAUGAUAAUAAGUUCAAGCUAAUCAAAUUACUAAUGAACUCCCACUAAAAUCAACAUCCCUCGGGUUGUUUAGUGACACAUGAUCCAAAUCCACUACACCAAGUCCGAUCAUCACGUGAGAUGGAGUAGCUUCAAUGGUAAACAUCAGCAUGUUGAUCACAUCAUUCAUAUGACUCAUGUUUAACCUUUCGGUUCCUUGUGUUCCGAGGCCAUGUCUGUACAUGCUAGGCUCGUCAAGUUAACCAAAGUAUUCCUGCAUGUGUAAAACUGGCUUACACCCGUUGUAUGCGAACGUAGAGUUUAUAACACCCGAUCAUCACGUGGUGCUUCAAAACGACGAACUUUUGCAACGGUGCAUACUAAGGGAGAACACAUUAUUAUCUUGAUAUUAACAAUGAGGGAUCAUCUUAUAAUGCUACCGUCAACUAAGCAAAAUAAGAUGCAUAAAAGGGAUAAACAUCACAUGCAUAAAUAAUGUGACAUGAUAUGGCCUUCUCUUCGUGUGCCUUUGAUCUCCAUCUCCAAAGCACGGGCAUGAUCUCCAUCAUCACCAGCAUGGCGCCUAGGUCCUCGGGCGUCAUGUAUAGUUGCCUCCACCAACUAUUGCUACUACGACUAUUGCUACUACUAGCGAUAAAGUAAAGCAAUUACAUGGCGAUUAAAUCAUUGACACGAAGGUCAUACAAUAAUUAAUGAGACAACCAUACGGCUCCUGCCGGUUGCCAAACUCAUCGACAUGCAAGUCGUGAAAUAUUACAAAACAUGAUCAUCUCAUACAUCAAAUAUAUUAUAUCAUAUCUUGGCCAUACCACAUCACAUGCCCCUGCAAAAACAAGUUAGACGCUUCUACUUUGUUGUUGCAUGUUUUACGUGGCUUUAGGGGCUGCACUAAAAGAACCGUUCUUACUUACGCAAAAGCCACAACGGUGAUAUACAAAUUGCUUAUUAACCAUAUAGGCCUCCCAUUGCAAAUCAGAUUUCAACUAUAGUGGGAGAGACAGACACCCGCCAGCCGCCUUAUGCAAUACAAGUUGCAUGUUAAUUGCGGAACCGGUCUCUUGUGCGAAGACAAGUAAGGUUGGUCCGAGUCGCUUCAUCCCACUAUCCCGCAAAAUCCGAUAGUGCACAAAGGAGGUAGCAAUAUGAACAUCAACGCCCACAACUAAAUUGUGUUCUACUCGUACAAAACAUCUACGCAUAGAUCUAGCUUUGAUACCACUGUUAGGUUCGUUGCAUAGGAAACAAAAAAUUUCCUACGAGAAGUGCGGAAGAAAACCCAAGAAUAUAUAUACUAGAUGUAUGUAACGAGAGGGAUCAUGAACACCAUACCCUCGUAGACCGCUAAGCGUUACGAUCACGAGAUCGUUGUUGGUGUAGUGGAACUUUCAAUGAGAUCGAUCUCAGUGCCGAACGGACAGCACCUCCUUGGUAUCCACACGUUCAGCUUCACGU